AAUCAACGCUGGCGGCAUGCCUAACACAUGCAAGUCGAACGGGAAGUGGGAGCAAUCCCAUGAGUAUAGUGGCGCACGGGUGAGUAACACGUGACUAACCUACCCUCGAGUGGGGAAUAACCCCGGGAAACCGGGGCUAACACCGCAUAAUACCGCAAGGUCAAAUGCGCAAGCAGCUUGAGGAGGGGGUCGCGGUUGAUUAGCUAGUUGGUAGGGUAAUGGCCUACCAAGGCAGNGAUCAAUAGCCGGCCUGAGAGGGCGCACGGCCACACUGGAACUGGAAACACGGUCCAGACUCCUACGGGAGGCAGCAGUGGGGAAUUUUGCGCAAUGGGGGAAACCCUGACGCAGCAAUGCCGCGUGGAGGAUGAAGUCCUUUGGGAUGUAAACUCCUUUCGAUCGGGAA
rnacentral:rRNA from 1 species